rnacentral:tRNA from 3 species
GGAGAGGUGCGUGAGUGGACGAAACGGCACGCCUGGAGAGCGUGUGUACCCAAAAGGUACCGUGGGUUCGAAUCCCACCCUCUCCG